rnacentral:rRNA from 1 species
CAAUAGCGUAUAUUAAAGUUGUUGCAGUUAGAACGCUCGUAGUCGGAUUUCGGGGCGGGCCGACCGGUCUGCCGAUGGGUACGCACUGGUCGGCGCGUCCUUCCUUCCGGAGACCGUGCCUACUCUUAACUGAGCGGGGGCGGGAGACGGAUCGUUUACUUUGAAAAAAUCAGAGUGUUUCAAGCAGGCAGCUCGCUCUUACAUGGAUUAGCAUGGGAUAAUGAAAUAGGACUUUGGUGCUAUUUUGUUGGUUUCGAACACCGAAGUAAUGAUUAACAGGGACAGUCAGGGGCACUCGUAUUCCGCCGAGAGAGGUGAAAUUCUCAGACCAGCGGAAGACGAACUACUGCGAAAGCAUUUGCCAGGGAUGUUUUCACUG